CCGGCACGGGUGAGUAACACGUAUCCAACCUGCCGUCUACUCUUGGACAGCCUUCUGAAAGGAAGAUUAAUACAAGAUGGCAUCAUGAGUCCGCAUGUUCACAUGAUUAAAGGUAUUCCGGUAGACGAUGGGGAUGCGUUCCAUUAGAUAGUAGGCGGGGUAACGGCCCACCUAGUCUUCGAUGGAUAGGGGUUCUGAGAGGAAGGUCCCCCACAUUGGACUGAGACACGGCCAA
rnacentral:rRNA from 1 species